AGAGUUUGAUCCUGGCUCAGGACGAACGCUGGCGGCGCGCUUAACACAUGCAAGUCGAGCGAGAACCUAGGCUUCGGCCUAGGGGACAGCGGCGAACGGGUGAGCAACACGUGGGUAAUCUGCCCUCGACAUCGGGAUAGCCCGGGGAAACCCGGAUUAAUACCGAAUAGCCCAUCCGCUUUUCGGAGCGGCUGGAAAAGGUAGCUUUGGCCUCCGGUCGAGGAGGAGCCCGCGGCGGAUUAGCUUGUUGGUGAGGUAACGGCCCACCAAGGCGACGAUCCGUAGCUGGUCUGAGAGGACGAUCAGCCACACUGGGACUGAGACACGGCCCAGACUCCUACGGGAGGCAGCAGUGGGGAAUCUUGCGCAAUGGGCGAAAGCCUGACGCAGCGACGCCGCGUGCGGGAAGAAGGCCUUCGGGUUGUAAACCGCUUUCAGGAGGGACGAAGCCACUCAGGUUAAUAGCCGAGAGGGUGACGGUACCUCCAGAAGAAGCCCGGCUAACUACGUGCCAGCAGCCGCGGUA
rnacentral:rRNA from 1 species